CUCAACCUCCUAACAAGGUAGACAGAUUUUAAACCAAAGAAGUUCAGUGUGGUGCUGUAGUCUCUGCAGGCUGCUUUUAUAUUUUGUGUACGUUAAAUGUUGUACACAAACUCAGAACCACACAUUGAGAAGGUAAUCUUGUGACCUCAUACUACUCUCAUAAUGCUUUGAGGUGCCUUCGAUUUUUUCGACUUUUAGCUGUAGGUUUGUUAAGCAGGUUUUGUGGUGUUUGAUUGUGUUGAAACAUGUUUUUUUGUGGUUAGUUUGGUGUUUUGGGGUUAUUGUUUGUUUGUUUUUUUUUGCAAUUCUGAGCAUCCACCAUAAUGAUGUCUCUUAGACAGAGUACGCACCUUAUAUAGGCAAUGUCUGACUAUGCAUAAUCUUCAUAUGGAAAAAGGAAUACUGAAUGGUAGAGGUGUAACUGCUGUCAAGAUUGUCUAAUGCAAAAAUGUAAAAAGUAGGAGAGGAGGAGCAAAAGGCUGCAUCCUCUCCUACUGUUGGACAGGUUAAAGUGGUUAUUUGUUUUAUUUUAUUUAUAUUAUAAUAUGAUUUUGUGUGGAAUUAUUGUGAAUUUAUUUUCGACUUCUGUUUAUUUGUUGUGAUUAUUGUGGAGUGUAUUUUGGAUUUUUUGUCUAUUUGCUGUGAUGUGUGCUGUGUUUUGGGGUGGUUCGUCACUGAUAAUUUCUUUAAGACAGUCUAAUUACCCGAACAGCUGAAACUGCUUCUUGCAAUCCCCUUUUUUUUCGCCAAUCAGAGCAGCGGGAGAGCGCGGGCAUGUCGGGACUCUUAUUUUAAAAGGUGGACUCUUAUCGUGUGGCAGAGAGCAGCAACAGGGCAGGAAGCGGGGCUCGGGAAGGGGACGCGCGGGCGAGUCGGAAGUGCUCAGACUCAGGAGCGGCAGCGGUGGACUCGGCGUGAGUGAGCCGGAGUACAGACCGCGAGGCUGGCUGGAAGAGUGUGGCACUUGCAGCAGACCUGGGAGGUUACUGAAGCAGGAGCACGCGGUGACGACGGCGGCCGUCGGAAGCGCGUUGGACUGGUGACCGAGGGUCGAGCCAUACACUGUGGGCAAGCGGCUGCUGGUUCUGAGUACAGUUUUGACUGUGCUCAGAGCGGUGUGAGUACAAACAGCCUUUUUAUUUACAGUGUAUGUGGCUGUAGAGUGAUAGUUGGCUUGCUGUUAUGAGGAGUUUUAUUCAGCAAACUGCAUAAGUUAAGCUUUUGUUUUAUUCACCUCUGCAUUAUAUAUUAGAGGCUGAUUAGUUUAAAGGAACUAGUUACUGUUCAUCCUUUCCUGUGCCCUGUUAGGGACGUGAGUGGACCCUGUGGACUGAAGAGCUGCGUCUGCCUGCCCUGGAAGCUGUUCAUCCUAGAGACUGGGACAGUUUAUGUUGUGUUUUGUUUGUUUUAUAUUAAUUUUGCUCCUUUUUUUGUUGUUUAUUGAUAUCCAUUCUGGUCUAAGGUUUUUAACCUUAAGUUAUGCAAAUAUUUUUAAUCUGAUGCAUGAUUUUAGCUGGUUUAUUGGCUAGAGGUAACAAUAAUUAAUAAAAGGCUUUGUUACUUAUUUUUGUUGUUGUUGUUUCCUAAGGGUAAUCUUACUGGUAUAGACUAUAUUCCCUCCCAAACUGAAUAAUAUUUAUAGUAAUUAAGCUAAGUUAGUUCCAGGGGAUACUUAGUGUGUAAUAUUUGUGUCCAUUGUUAAAUUUAAUGAUUGGGUUGUGCGUGGGAUAAUUAAGUCCCCUUGUGGAUAAACUCACUGGGUAAAAUUUGUGAUCCCUCUUUUCUUUUUUUUUUUUCUUCACCACUCAAUUUGGAUUAUUGUAGGUUUAGGACCUUAACACAUGCACCCUUGUAUUUUGUCCCUGGGACACUACCCCGGAAUAAGGUAGAGGAAUCAAGGAGAGGAGGAGGAGGAAUGGAGGGAAGGAGCUGUAAUUAGGGAAAUGGGACAGCUGAUCCCUUUUAGAUAAGAUGUUGACUACCAAUGAACUGAGCCAAUCACAACGCUCACUUUCAGCACAUGCCGGAUACUGCCCAGCCAAUUCUAGAGAUCAUAAAAAACGAUUCUAGAGAUCAUAACUUUGACAAGCAUAUCAAGCUUUAAAGUACAGCCUGAUUAGCCAUUGAUGAAGGUUGCAUAUGUAAAUAUUAAAUUAUUUUAAGUUAAAUAUGAUUUCAUUGAAUGUAAUAAAACAAAUAACAAAUAUUAAUAAAUAAUACUUAUAAUAAUAAAUGUAUCGUCUGUUUUUUUUUUAAGCGGCUUCUAUCAUCUCCUACCGUACUCGGACAGGUGGCAAGAUGCCGUCACAAAAUCAAUUUCCGGGUCACGGAGGAGAGGAGGAGGAUCGGUAGGAAAAAGGAGACACUUUUGGGGUUUCUGGACGCAGCCUCUGUUUAAGAUCUACAAUCUUACACCAAUUUGAGAAGUCCAACAGUUCUGAGAACCAAUGUCGUUUACCGCUGUCUCUUUGCUGUAAAGAUGCUUGAAGAUGAGGAAGAAGACACCGCAGACAUUGCCUUAGGUGUAAUACAAUUAUUUAUUACAAAAGAGAAAUUUUCUGUCUGCCUCCUAGGCGGCCAUAUUCCAUAUUAUAAAAAUGGAGGAAUUAAUAAAGAAGUUGUUUUGUGACUUCA